GAUGAACGCUGGCGGCGCGCCUAAUACAUGCCAGUCGAGCGAACAGACGAGGAGCUUGCUCCUCUGACGUUAGCGGCGGACGGGUGAGUAACACGUGGAUAACCUACCUAUAAGACUGGGAUAACUUCGGGAAACCGGAGCUAAUACCGGAUAAUAUAUUGAACCGCAUGGUUCAAUAGUGAAAGACGGUUUUGCUGUCACUUAUAGAUGGAUCCGCGCCGCAUUAGCUAGUUGGUAAGGUAACGGCUUACCAAGGCAACGAGGGGUAGCCGACCUGAGAGGGGGAUCGGCCACACUGGAACUGAGACACGGUCCAGACGCCUACGGGAGGCAGCAGUAGGGAAUCGUCCGCAAUGGGCGAAAGCCUGACGGAGCAACGCCGCGUGAGUGAUGAAGGUCUUCGGAUCGUAAAACUCUGUUAUUAGUGAAGAACAAAUGUGUAAGUAACUAUGCACGUCUUGACGGUACCUGAUCAGAAAGCCACGGCUAACUACGUG
rnacentral:rRNA from 1 species